AAAGGAAUUGACGGGUCCCCGCACAAGCGGUGGAGCAUGUGGCUUAAUUCGAUGCAACGCGAAGAACCUUACCAGGUCUUGACAUGUAGAGGACCGGUCCAGAAAUGGAUCUUCCCUUCGGGGCCUCUUCACAGGUGCUGCAUGGCUGUCGUCAGCUCGUGUCGUGAGAUGUUCGGUUAAGUCCGUCAACGAGCGCAACCCCUGUCCUUAGUUGCCAGCAUUCAGUUGGGGACUCUAAGGAGACUAACUGUGUUUAACAGUGGGAAGGUGGGGAUGAUGUCAAGUCAGUAUGGCCCUUACGACCUGGGCUGCACACGUGCUACAAUGCCUGGUACAAUGAGCACCGAUACCGCGAGGUGGAGGAAAUCUAUAAAGCCAGGCCCAGUUCAGAUUGUAGUCUGCAACUCGACUACAUGAAGUUGGAAUCGCUAGUAAUGGCGCAUCAGCUACGGCGCCGUGAAUACGUUCCCGGGGAUUGUACACACCGCCCGU
rnacentral:rRNA from 1 species